rnacentral:rRNA from 1 species
GAUGAACGCUGGCGGCGUGCCUAAUACAUGCAAGUCGAGCGAACGGACGAGAAGCUUGCUUUUCUGAUGUUAGCGGCGGACGGGUGAGUAACACGUGGAUAACCUACCUAUAAGACUGGGAUAACUUCGGGAAACCGGAGCUAAUACCGGAUAAUAUUUUGAACCGCAUGGUUCAAAAGUGAAAGACGGUCUUGCUGUCACUUAUAGAUGGAUCCGCGCUGCAUUAGCUAGUUGGUAAGGUAACGGCUUACCAAGGCAACGAUGCAUAGCCGACCUGAGAGGGUGAUCGGCCACACUGGAACUGAGACACGGUCCAGACUCCUACGGGAGGCAGCAGUAGGGAAUCUUCCGCAAUGGGCGAAAGCCCGACGGAGCAACGCCGCGUGAGUGAUGAAGGUCUUCGGAUCGUAAAACUCUGUUACUAGGGAAGAACAUAUGUGUAAGUAACUGUGCACAUCUUGACGGUACCUAAUCAGAAAGCCACGGCUAACUACGUG